rnacentral:rRNA from 1 species
AUUGAACGCUGGCGGCAGGCCUAACACAUGCAAGUCGAACGAGUGGGGGGCGGGUGAGUAAUGUCUGGGAAACGGCCUGAUGGAGGGGGCUAACUACUGGAAACGGUAGCUAAUAACGCAUACCAGCGGAUGUGCCCGAAUGGGAUUAGCGAGUUGGUGGGGUAACGGCGCACCAAGGCGACGAUCCCUAGCUGGUCUGUGAGGAUGACCAGCCACACUGGAACUGAGAAACGGUCCAGACUCCUACGGGAGGCAGCAGUGGGGAAUAUUGGACAAUGGGCGCAAGCCUGAUGCAGCCAUGCCGCGUGUAUGAAGAAGGUCUUCGGGUUGUAAAGUACUUUCAGCGGGGAGGCGUUACCAGCAGAAGAAGCACCGGCUAACUCCGUGCCAGCCGCCGCGGUAAUUC